GACGAACGCUGGCGGCGUGCUUAACACAUGCAAGUCGAACGGAAAGGCCCUGCUUGCUGGGUACUCGAGUGGCGAACGGGUGAGUAACACGUGGGUGAUCUGCCCUGCACUUCGGGAUAAGCCUGGGAAACUGGGUCUAAUACCGGGUAGGAGCCAUUUUUAGUGUGAUGGUUGGAAAGUUUUUUCGGUGUAGGAUGAGCUCGCGGCCUAUCAGCUUGUUGGUGGGGUAAUGGCCUACCAAGGCGGCGACGGGUAGCCGGCCUGAGAGGGUGGACGGCCACAUUGGGACUGAGAUACGGCCCAGACUCCUACGGGAGGCAGCAGUGGGGAAUAUUGCACAAUGGGCGCAAGCCUGAUGCAGCGACGCCGCGGGGGGGAUGACGGCCUUCGGGUUGUAAACUCCUUUCGCUAGGGACGAAGCUUUUUGUGACGGUACCUAGAUAAGAAGCACCGGCUAACUACGUG
rnacentral:rRNA from 1 species